UAAUGAAUUGUCGUAUUUACAAACGAAUUAUUUAAAUACUCUUGAAAAUUUUUCUCUCAUAUACUUUUCAACAAUUCACAUGAAACGAAUUCUCGCUUUGAUCGUGGCUUUAGAAGUUUAACUCUAACACACAUUAGACUCGUGCUCGUUUUAAACACGUGAUUCCGGUGUUGCAUUACGUCUCUCUCUCUCUCUCUCUCUCUCUCUCUCUCUCUCUCUUUUUCUCUUUCUCUCUUUCUCUACUAUUACAAACAACGUAUGUCAGAAUAUCAGGACAUAUUGUAUGUUAACGAUAUAUGUGUUUACAGUUGAUACAGAGAAGUUCGUCGAUUGAUACGAGCAAAUAAUAGGACGUAAGGAAAUCGUAGUCGAUAAUAGUAAGGUUAUAGAUAUGUAUGUAUACAAUUCAUAAUAGAACGAGACGUGUUUGUAUAUGUAUAUAUGUAUAUGUAUAUCCGUGUGUUUUCAUUCUGUGUUCCGUAAUAGGUUAACUAACAAAUUACAAGAAGAAAAAGAAAGAGGAGAAGGGGAAGGAGAGUACGAAAGAGUCAUUUGAAAUUUGACGACGAAGAGUCCUGAUUAUACGAACGAGGCACGUUAGUCGUUCUUGGUCAUUCGCACAAACGAAACGAAAGAAGCGUGACGUUCAUUAGAGCAUUUAGAUGGAGUCAACAAAAUGAUUAAACGAUCCUGAGCCAUACAUUUUAGAUUUAAUGAAAUUGGUAAAUAAACGACGACUCGUUUUGGGAUUACCGUAAUGGAUAAUAAAAUAAUUGAUUCGAGGGAUGCUGGUUUGCGUGAGUCAAGCGGAUAUAAACGAAGAGCUACCAGGAGUGGGUCAUCGUUUAAACGUAAUAGGAAGAAGGGUGAUCAGGAGAAGAGAAGAGAAGAGAAGAGAGACGGACGAACGGAUUCGCUUAUUCGAUUUUAUCCCGUCUCAUCUGGAAGCAACUUGUUGUUUCGUCAUACCUACCGAUAGAUCGAAAGCGACUAGCUCUAAACCGGUUAGAAGUUUCUUUAUCGUCAAGUCCUACGCUAACAAUGUUUCACUUGCAUACAUAUGCAUCUAUAUAUACAUAUACGUGAUUGAUUUUUCAAUUAAUCCGUGAUUGCUUAUCGAUUUAUAAUCGGUUUUCGAAACAAAUAGAAUUGAUUUAUUUCUUUCGAUAAAUAAAUAAAUAAAUAUAUAUAUAUAUAUAUGUAUAUAUGUAGUGGUAGAGUAAUAAAAAGAUAUAAAAGGAUCGAUUAAAA